AGUAUAUGGUCUUUGGUGUGUUCUUUUGGUCUGCUUUGUGCAUUUGAGGUGUUGUCGGGGUUACGUAUUGCUCUCUCGCUAUGCUUGGGUUACUUCUCCAACUCUGAAUUUGUUUUCUGGUGCGCGGUGUGCAAGACUUAUCCGGCUCUGAUGUGGGUAGCUACUUCUUCCAUCAGAUUUGGUGAAGCGGUUCCAAGUGGG
rnacentral:lncRNA from 1 species